CUUGCUUCAUCCUGGAUGGUUUGGCGCAAGGCACACGUGCACUGUGCCACCAAAGCUUCCGAGGUUCGCUUUGACAGUGGCGCAAUGCUAAGUGUGCUGGAACCGGGUCGCGACCCCAAGCUGCCCACAGUCACCUUGCUCCCGCCUUCGACCAAGGAGUGUCACAACCAGAAGAACAAGCAAAGGCGGAAGAAAACGCUAGUGUGCGCCGCCACGGGCUUCUUCCCGGACCACGCGGCCGUGUCAUGGCAGGUCGACGGGCAGGAUGUCACCGCGGGCGUGGCCACGGACGCCAGCGCCCUGCCGGACGGCGGCUUCUACAAGAUGAGCAGCAGGUUGCGCGUGGCGUCAGAUUUGUGGUUGACGCCCGGCAGAGCCUUCACCUGCACGGUCAGCUUCUUUGACGGCAAGGAGACCACGCUGCACUCAAAAACGGUCUACGGCAUCCAAGGUGAAAAAGUGACAAGAGUGAGUUAUUUGAGGGUGGUGCAGAGUGCCAAGCUGUCCUACGCCGUCCUCCUGGUCAAGAGCAGCGUCUAUGCGGCUUUUGUCGGCUUCUUGCUGUGGAAGCGUCGGGUUGGUACUUCGAAACCCGUUAAGAUGUUCAACGUCUGCCGUUUAAGAAUUGGUUUCAAAAUGUUUUACUCAGCAACACGAAAUUUGGUAGACAUGUCUGCAAAAGUCUGAACUGCCCGAAAAGAUACAGGAAGUCUGCUAUUUUGGUUUGAGGUGGCCAUUUUGUAGCAUCCUCUAUAAUUGUUUUUAAAUUCAGUCCUCAAUUCCAGUUUCACAACAUCAACAUGAAAUUUGGUCGACAUGUCUACAACGGCUAGACCAACAAAAAAAAAUCCCCCCAAAAUUGCUUCUUGAGACUUUUUUUUUUUUUUUUUGUCUGAGAAGAAACAGGUGGCCUGCCAUUUUGAUUAGAAAUUGACAUUUUGGCGUAAUUGGUAGCACCAAAUAUUAUUUUUUGUUUUUAAAUUCUGCCCCCAAAGCCAGUUUUACUUAGCAGUCUGAAAUUUUGUUGGCAUGUCUACAAUGGCUAGACCAACAAAAAGCUGCCCCAAAACAUUUUUGGGACAUUUUGCGGCCAUUUUAGCGUCCAAGGGUCCUUUAUAAACAAACUACUCAUAUAGAUUUCUCCCAAUUGCUACCACAUUUUAACCACAUACACUAGACAGGUUGACAGCGGUAAAUUGUGGAAAUGUUCUGAUUGUUUGUUAUCAACAUUGCGCGUGUGCAGAGAAUGGUGGGAAAUCAAUGAAACUGAUUUUGUCUUUGUUUUUUUGUUUUGUUUCAGGGUCUGUCCACAAAGCUGAGCCCUUCAUAGUUAGUUGACUUGGGGCUGCCUUAAAGGAGCUUGCUGCCAAUAAAGCUUGAAAAAAAAAAAAAAACACAUUAUGGCUGUGAUGUGUUGUAUGUGCAAAAUGUCGAUGUGUCAGCUCCAGAUCUAGAGGCCGUUAUUAGCAAAGGUUAAGUGUUGUUGUUGUUGUUGUUCUUGUCGAGUCAGAUAAGGUCGCAGCAGGAGACAGGAUGCGGUGACGCUCGCUAACAGAAACAAAGCAGAAAGUUGGCGCUUCACCGCAACCUCCGGCUUUGCACGCUGCACCUGCACACCUCCUAGCAAAGUGCAUAUGAGCUUGGAAAUCUUAUUUGCUCUUUGUUCGUUUGCUUUUGAAGCUUAGUUAAUGAAGUCGCUACAAUAAUUACCUAUACCCUUAAAAAAACACACAGUAAUACGAGGGGGGGAAAUGUACAAUUAUAAACAUAAAACUAAAAUAUACAGUCAUAAAUCCUAAUAAUUAUUUGAUUAAUUUGUACUUGUGUUUUUGGUGCUUUUUAUUAUUUCAGUUACUCGUGACAAAAUAAAAAUGAUCACAAAUGAAAAUAUGACAUGAUUUCAUAUUAUUGCUACUUAUGAAUGAAUUGAAUGAAUAUUUGGAGUUUGAGGGAAGGACUCAGGAGUGGUGGUAACACUGUGCCAGGCUGCCCCCCCCUCCCUUCUAAGAUUGGUCUAGGACCGCCACUGAAACAUUACAAUUACUUGCAUAUGUUUUUGUUCAUUAUAGUUUUGGCGCACAAAAGGUCGUGAAAUUAAAAACUUAGUGCAAUUGGAGUGUAUUUCUGCAUUGUGUUCUAUUUUAUUUCCGCCAUCUGGUGGCCAAUGGAGUAAAUGUCGCUCCACACUGACAGGAAUUGGAUGUUGCACUGUGGCGCCACCUAUUGGACUGAUUCGUUCAGUGUCGAGCACUUAAUAGAAAAUUGCAGACCUACAUUACAAAAUGUACAUUACCUCUUUGACAUAUUCUAAAUGGUAAAAAAAAAAAGAUCUUGGGGAAAAUUAUAGAUGAAAGGCAAACUGAAUUUAUGUCCAACCGCCUUUUAUAGUAAUGGAAUUAAAAAACUAAACAAAAACUAAACCCUACCUA